CUAAAAAUAGAUCAUAAGCACGGAAAAGAUGCAGUUGCCCGCGACUCGCUCUUCGGGUGUAAUAAAUCUCGGUCCCGUGUCCCAGUGACACAUUUUUUCUCUCAUUCUCUCGUUUCGCGGCUAAAAGCCAAUCGCCAAUCGGCAAUAGGGUCGACCCAUGCUAAACAGGGCAUCUCGGUUUCCUGGCAGAUAUCCGAUAUCGUCCCAGUAAUCCAUAGACAAUCACUGCCUCCGGUUUUCCAGAAAUACCCCGCCAAGUCAUCAGGUCACAGCCUAAAGGUGGAGCAAGUCGAAUAACAAUAAAUGACACUAAUUAUAAUACUUUACGUAAAAUUAAGAAAGAAUAUUACGUAAAACCUUAAAAAACUUACUACACUCAUUAAUUAGAUAAAAAUUUUCUCAAGAGCCCUUUAAACCGUUUAAAAUUGUCACAGUCUUUAAUAUUUGUAGGCAAAUUAUUAUAUUCAAUCAAGCCUCUGUUAAGAAUUGGGUUGAGCAUUUGAACCGUAUUACAUCUGUUGACUAGAUUGAAGUCCGUACGAUUUCUUGUAUAAUAAUUAUGUACAUCUGAAAAAAUUUUCAACUCUUUACAAGUGUAUUCCGGCAGCAUUUUAUGUUUCAAUUUAAAAAUAAACAGAUAGACAU